CCUGUCGCUGGGUCGCCUGCGACAGG
rfam:Escherichia hermannii NBRC 105704 DNA, contig: EH10570401.